AUGUGCCACCCGCGCACUGCGGUUCCGGCCGCGAUGCCCGCAGCCACCUGACAACCGCGCUCGUUUUGUUAGCC
rnacentral:sRNA from 1 species